rnacentral:lncRNA from 1 species
CUUUGAAGAAGGAUGGGACAGUUGUGUGUGGCCACUGUACAUGUAAAGCAGGCCUGGGAGAGGUGUGCUCCCACAUAACAGCUCUGCUGUAUGCAAUAGACUCUGCUGUUAAACAUCUGAAAGACAGAAGCUGCACUGAUGGGCCCAGACAGUGGGGACUUCCUCCUGUGAAAGCAGGCAAGGCUCUGUACAAAGAGGGAUUGGGAAUUGAUUUCUCAAAUCCUGCCAAAAAGCGUUGUGGUGUACACAACAAAAGCCAUUCAGGUCGUCCAUCUGGGAAGAAAGUGGGUGUGUCUGCAGCAGCUAUAGAACAAUUCUACAGGGCUCUGGAUAAUGCAACUCCAAACCCUUCAGAGAAGAGUGGUAUCCUACGCAUAUUGCCGCACUACUGUAAACAGUUUCAACCAAAGGUGGUGUCUCUGGGUCUACCACAGCCCCUGACCGAUUUGUACAGUGCUCAGAACCGGAAGCUGUCUGCCUCUGACCUUGAGAAAAAUGUGAUGCGGUAUUCAAUGAUAUGGAAGUCACACCAGAGCAGGUAUAUUCUUCUUCAUGUAUAAUUUGAAAUGUAGGCAGUAAAAGUUGAGAAAGAGACAUGACAACAGGUUAAGUCAAGGCUGUGGUUUGACAUGAGGGCUGGUAGGGUGACGGCAUCCAGGUUCAAGUCAGCUGCAAGGACAGACCCUACAAAUCCUUCCAAAUCCCUAAUUAGGCAGAUCUGUUACCCUGACCUAUGCAGAUUUUCAACAGUUGCAACCAGAUGGGGAUGUGAACAUGAACAAAAAGCCAGAGAGACGUAUGAGGCUUAUGCUGCACAACAGCAUCAGGACCUGAGUGUUUGUGACGCCGGUCUCCACAUUGACUCCCUCCCGUCCCCUACCUUGGACGCAGCCAAAGACACCAGAGUCCUCAGCGCCUCUGAAAAGAAACAUUUCUGCGUUGAGAACACAGAUGGUACAUAUGCACUUAACAGAGAUCAUCAGUACCACUACCAGGUGCAAGCCCAGUUGUUUGUGACGAGAUGGAAGUUCUGCGACUUCAUGGUGUGGUCUACAUCCAAUUUUUUCUUACAGAGGAUUUUGCCUGAUGCAGACUUUUUACAGAAGCAGUGCAGAAUGUCGAGGCCUUCUAUAGGUCAGCCAUUUUAUCUGAGUUAUUGGCCAAGACACAUACAUGCCCAGAUAGACCGCUGUCAGACAAAACACAGAGUCCACUGACUCACAAGAAUUAGAGUAGUAGGGAUAACUAUAUGCUUAACCCUUAUUAUUUUAGUUUUUGAAGUGUUGUUAAUAACAAAGUGUUUAUGAAGAAUAAUUAAUAUGAUUAAAAUUUUGGUUGUGUGUAUGUAUGUAUAAUCAAACAACAGUACUCGUUACAUUUUACAUGUAAUAUUCAUUUAUAAAGGAAAACAGCAUGGUCAAAAGUUUGAGGGCUGUUUUUUUUUUUUAGUAAAAACACCUUUCAACACGUUUAUAAAAGGCAACCUAAAUUACAUAUGUACACUCAUGUACAAUUUCCUUUGUAACGUCUGUCCUGCAUGUUUAAAUUAAACACAAAGUGUGAAUGUGUUGGGGAACUGACACAGAAAACUGAUUUAAAACAUAGUGAGCUUAAAUAUGACAUCAGCCUAGUCAUAAAAUAUUGGGAAACUGCCUGAGUACCACCAAGAGGGAGCCAGGGAACCAUGGUCCCAGCCUAUAACUAUCCUGACACAUCAUCCAUUUUCUAUUCGUAAAGUAAAUUACUGUUAAAACGACAAAAACAACCACUGGAUAAGAAAAGGGUAUUUUACAAUAAUAUUAGCACCGGGUCUCGGUACCCAACCCUAGUAAUAACCACUUGUGUCUGAUACAGAUGACACUCUUUUGAGACACUGAUCAGUGUAUUCCUGACAUGAUGCUACGUUUGUGAAUGGGUAGACUGAACAGCACUUACUUGCCCAUUACAUAGGCUACUCAUGUCACAAAUAACAAUUUGACUGUGUCUCCAUGUGGACAUGGGUAACGGUAUGGUAUUACACAAAUGAAGUACAAGUAACUGGUAAAUACAUGAAUCUUACCUUGUAAAAAAUGCUCGCUGCAAAUCCUGGAAUACUUGGAGGGCUGCCAGUUCUUUCGGCUGAUAGCAGCAACCCAUCGCUGCCUUCUCUUCCCAUCAAAUGGUAUUCGAUAAAAAGAUAUAUUAGCUUUACCCUGUCUAUUAGCACAGCCCACCGCACAACAAGAAAAAAAAAAAAAAAACCUCGACCGGCCCAAAAGUGAGGCGGCCCACCGGGAAUUCUCCCGGUUCUCCCGAUUACCCACCCCGGGCCUGAUUAUAAUACAGCUCCAUCUAUUCGAGAAAAGAUUUCACUUGAUUAGAAAGCACAUGGGAAAAUGGCGCACAUUGAAAGAUCACUGAAUUCAUGUAAACAGAAAUAAAGCAUUUGAUAUGAAACCCAUAUUUUUAACUUUUAACAGGGAGCUGCAACAGAAACGACUCACCCACAGCAGUUCUAUCUAGCUCUGCUGCAGAUCAUUCGAACUCAGUGCGCUAUAGCGCCACCAGCGCAGCCAAUAGGAAGCGCGAUCACAUUACAGCAGGAUUUACUUAAAGGGAUACUCCACCGUGUUUUCAUAUUAAACUGUUAUUCCCUUAACUAAGACGAGUUGAUACAUACCUCUUUCGUCUCAGUGCGUGCACUAAAUCGCUCUGUCUUUCUGCGAAACUUUGUUAGCACUUAGCUUAGCCCAGUUCAUUCAAUAGGGGUAGGGUUGCCACCCGUCC